AGAGUUUGAUCAUGGCUCAGGAUGAACGCUAGCGGCAGGCUUAAUACAUGCAAGUCGUGGGGCAGCAGUCCCGCAGCAAUGCGGGAGCUGGCGACCGGCAAACGGGUGCGGAACACGUACACAACCUUCCUUUUAGUGGGGAAUAGCCCGGGGAAACCCGGAUUAAUACCCCGUAACAUAAUGAAGUGGCAUCACUUUAUUAUUAUAGCAGCAAUGCGCUUUAAGAUGGGUGUGCGACUGAUUAGGCAGUUGGCGGGGUAACGGCCCACCAAACCUACGAUCAGUAACUGGUGUGAGAGCACGACCAGUCACACGGGCACUGAGACACGGGCCCGACUCCUACGGGAGGCAGCAGUAAGGAAUAUUGGUCAAUGGACGCAAGUCUGAACCAGCCAUGCCGCGUGGAGGAUGAAGGUCCUCUGGAUUGUAAACUUCUUUUAUCUGGGAAGAAACCCACGAAUUCUUUUGUGGUUGACGGUACCAGAUGAAUAAGCACCGGCUAACUCCGUGCCAGCAGCCGCGGUAAUACGGAGGGUGCAAGCGUUAUCCGGAUUCACUGGGUUUAAAGGGUGCGUAGGUGGGCAGGUAAGUCAGUGGUGAAAUCUCCGGGCUUAACUCGGAAACUGCCAUUGAUACUAUCUGUCUUGAAUACCGUGGAGGUCAGCGGAAUAUGUCAUGUAGCGGUGAAAUGCUUAGAUAUGACAUAGAACACCAAUUGCGAAGGCAGCUGGCUACACGAAUAUUGACACUGAUGCACGAAAGCGUGGGGAUCAAACAGGAUUAGAUACCCUAGUAGUCC
rnacentral:rRNA from 1 species